CCUCCUCUGCCGUGGUCGACAGCGGGCAAAACAUUCGCCUUGUCCCUUAACAGCGACCACGGGGAUCGGAACCAGCCCGGUGCGCAAGUCCGCCAUGCAGCGGAAAGCCCGACGGCCGGCGAACAUCCCCACUUGAACCCCGGGUUCAAGGUCGUUUCGUCCGCAUCGUCAUGGCGGAGGAUGC
rnacentral:other from 1 species